UACAGAGGGUGCAAGCGUUAAUCGGAUUUACUGGGCGUAAAGCGUGCGUAGGUGGCUUUAUAAGUCGAUUGUGACAUCCCCGGGCUCAACCUGGGAAUUGCAGUCGAUACUGUAAAGCUCGAGUUCGGUAGAGGACGGCGGAAUUCUCGGUGGAGCGGUGAAAUGCGUAGAUAUCGAGAGGAACAUCGAUGGCGAAGGCAGCCGUCUGGGCCAGAACUGACACUGUGGCACGAAAGCGUGGGUAGCAAACAGG
rnacentral:rRNA from 1 species